rnacentral:pre_miRNA from 1 species
ACAACAUUUAGACUGUCGGUCAACCGAGCAACAUCACGCGCUCCGUGGAAGAUCUUCCUUUCGUCGU